UACAGAGGGUGCAAGCGUUGCUCGGAUUUACUGGGCGUAAAGCGCACGUAGGCGGAUCUUUAAGUCAGGGGUGAAAUCCCGAGGCUCAACCUCGGAACUGCCUUUGAUACUGGGGAUCUCGAGUCCGGGAGAGGUGAGUGGAACUGCGAGUGUAGAGGUGAAAUUCGUAGAUAUUCGCAAGAACACCAGUGGCGAAGGCGGCUCACGGGCCCGGAACUGACGCUGAGGUGCGAAAGCGUGGGGAGCAAACAGG
rnacentral:rRNA from 1 species